ensembl:lncRNA
ACUCUCCUGGAAUCUCUGAUAAGUACUAUGGCUUUUGGACUGCCCAAACAGUUCAGCCUGCAGGUCAAAAGGAGUGAUUACUAUGGCAAAUGAGAUGAGUUGGACAAAGAAGAUAAUGGCAGUAAGAUGGUGAAGAUUCGGUGGAACCAUCAGUGUCAGAUUUAUUAUUGAAUUCAGUCAUGUGUGGACUUUCCUUAGCAACAAGGAAUAGAUAGUGAGAAAGUCUUAAGAAGACAGGAUGUUCUGCAAAUUACUUCAUUAUUUUUUUAAUCAUAUUGCCAGAUGUGAAGAAAAUAAUGCUACUGUAACCAUUUUGAGUCAACUGAUCAGUUGAUUGAAACUUUCUCUGAUGUUUUAAAUCAGUGAUUCCAGCGCUGGCUACUUAUUAGAAUCACCUAAGGAGUUUUUCAAAUUUACCAAUGGAUCUCAGAACAAUUAAAGCAGAAUUUAGUUGAGAUGGGCUCUGGCAGCAGUAUUUUCUUUCUCUAAGCUCCCCAGAGUAUUCUGAUGUGUAGCCAGGAUUAAGCACCACUGUUUUAAAUGAAAUUAAUUGGAAAAAAUCUGCCUGACAGCAGCUUAGUAGAACACACCUGUCAGUUAUCAACUAAUACCCAGGAACGGGGUUUAUGACCUGUAUGUAAAUCCAGGUUUAACAAGCAGACCUCUUAAGAGAGAGAGAGAAGCUGAAGAUGCUCCUGGAAUCUAUCUGACGCAGAUGCACAUGGCUCUGUUCUUCUCACUCUGAAAGCAUGCUUGACUUUGGGGUAGCUGGAGCCUGGGCCUGGUAGCAGGGCCUGGCCAAGCAGAUCUGUCUCAGAGGAGGAGAGCAAGCUUCGGGGAACUCUGCCUGCAGAGAUGGACAAGCUCUGGAUCUGAAGGCAUUCCCUAAAGCAACACCAGCCCCUUGUUUUCUGCCGACCUGGCCUAUUUGGAGCAAAUUACUUACUGUUCUGUCUGUCCAGCUUGGAACUGAGAAGUCCAAAGGGAUGGAGAGAGACAGACAGGAAGGAUCCGUGUCAGGAGGCAGGCAAUUUAGAUGAACUCUUUUGCCUUGUUCUCUCUACCCUCACCCCCAUCCUAGCCCCAACAGAUAGCUAGCAGAGCCCUAGGUCCCUGCCCACUACCCCUAUUAAUGGAAGCCUAAUGUACUUGGGCAAAUCUCCCAGCUCUCCAAGUCAAUUUCCCUUAUGUAGACUAGAGAUAAAAUAUAAAACUGUCAUAAGACAAAUUGAGAGGAACAUAUAUAUACCUAUGGC